rnacentral:rRNA from 1 species
GACGAACGCUGGAGGCGUGCCUAAUACAUGCAAGUAGAACGCAGUUGCGAACGGGCGGGUGACGCGUAGGUAACUGCCUGGCAGCGGGGGAGAACUAAUGGAAAAGAUAGCUAAUACCGCAUCCUACCAGAUGGACCUGCGUUGUAUUAGCUAGGUGGUGGGGUAACGGCUCACCAAGGCAACGAUACAUAGCAGACCUGAGAGGGGGAUCGGCCACACUGGGACUGAGACACGGCCCAGAAUCCUACGGGAGGCAGCAGUAGGGAAUCUUCGGCAAUGGACGGAAGUCUGACCGAGCAACGCCGCGUGAGUGAAGAAGGUUUUCGGAUCGUAAAGCUCUGUUGUAAGAGAAGCGGUAUCUUACCAGAAAGGGACGGCUAACUACGUGCCAGCAGCCGCGGUAAUUC